rnacentral:rRNA from 1 species
UACGUAGGAUCCGAGCGUUAUCCGGAUUUAUUGGGUUUAAAGGGUGCGUAGGCGGCUUAUUAAGUCAGGGGUGAAAGACGGUAGCUUAACUAUCGCAGUGCCUUUGAUACUGAUGAGCUUGAAUAUACUUGAGGUAGGCGGAAUGUGACAAGUAGCGGUGAAAUGCAUAGAUAUGUCACAGAACACCGAUUGCGAAGGCAGCUUACUAAAGUAUGAUUGACGCUGAGGCACGAAAGCGUGGGGAUCAAACAGG